GAUCAUUUUAGAGGUCAAUAAAUUGAGCUAGCCAUCUGAAUGCAAGCCUAGACCGUCUCAUCAAUUCAUAUGUUUCGUUAGAUCCGUUCGUCGUCUUUUGAAUUCAUCAUGUCUUUGAGUAAUAUUACUUCAAUCACUGGUUUCAUCGAUGGCUUGGUCUCAGCUUCAGAGAUCCAGAGGUAGGCUUUGGAAGUUCGUAUGGAUCUACUGAAUCUCUACAGUAUAUUAUGAUAUGUGACGGCCUUGGACGAGAAUUUAUGUGCUUUGUCGAGUGUUUGUUUCAGAUCUGCUCGUACUCCGAUAGAUCUGUUUGGCGAUGUGAAGAAUUUGAGGCCACUAUGGUUGUGUAAGGGUUUGUUGGAUUAUUUUAUUACUGUUUACAUAUACAACUAUAUAUAUAUAUAUAUAUAUAUAUAUAUAGUUGUGGUGCAGUUUUAGUGUGGCGGGAGAUAGAGAUAAGAGAUAUGGGAAGAAAGAGAGCUGUUGUCACAGGCCUUUGCCAUGUCAGGUGCGCUUGCAUGGCAGGUCAACAAAAAAAAAAAAAAAAACAUAAUAAAAAUUUUCUUUUGUGUCUUUGGGGAGAUGGCCCGUGGUUUUAUGCCCGGCUCUCCCUUUGCGUCUAGUGUCACUGCCUCAAAUCCGUCUGAUUCUUCAUUUCAAGCCAGCAAACACGAGGAUAAUUAUAAAUUCAUGGUUUUCAGUUCAAGAGGUACAUAUAAUCGCCGUCUUUUUAUCAAAAUUUCCCAUUAAUUUUAGCAUUUUUUUAACCCAGCAUAUUUUCACAAUUAUGCCAUUUUUUCCUGAUAAACAAAUUAGCAAUAAAAGAAGUUAAUUCGACUCCUAUAUUGCAAACAUCAUUUGACUUUCAUUUUUUAAAAAAGAAAAUUGUAUAUAUAUAUAUGUGUGUGACUUUCAAUAUAUAUACAACAAAUUAGGUGGUGGUUGCUGUGCAACACAGCCUCAAGCCUAAUUGGUUCUGCUCCAACCUGCCGUUUCUUUAGUCGUCUUUUAAAUUGGCUGAUUUGGAGUUACCAAUUCAGUGCACGUACAUUGUGACUAUGUUUUUACCAAACAUUUAUCAAUUAGAAUGGGCACAAUUUUAUCCAUCUAUGUUUUUUUAAUGCUCUUACUGUGCAUAAAUGUUACAUAACUUUAUAUAGUUUUUUUAUAAGAAUCAUUAUUGUAGAAACAAAUGGAUGCACUUACAUAAUUCAAAAAGUGUAUUGGUCGAAACGGAUUUGAAUUUGGAGUCCCCGAAUUAAUUUUGCACAUUAUAACUCUUCACUCGCACACCUCAGCGUGCAUGGGACGUAUUUGCAAAGGGAUGAUAAUUCAAAAAGUGUUUUUUAUUUUUUAUUUUUCAUUUUUCUGCACUUUAUCUAAUAAUUUAUUAUUAUUAUUAUUAAUAUUAUUAUUAUAUAUACAAUUUUUUUGGGGGGAUGUUGGGAGGAUGUGGUCCACACCUUAUUCUCAUUUAAUGUUAUCAAUGUGAAAGUCCAAUAUGUGAUUGUGUGUUGUAUGGGACUGUGGGCCCAAUUACAUCCAUGUAUUUUUUAUGCUCUUACUCUACACGUUACAUAAUUACAUCCAUGUAUUGUUCUUCGACUGUAAUCUAUAGUUCAUAACUUUGUUGUCUAACAACAUAA